GAUCAACGCUGGCGGCGUGCCUCUGACAUGCAAGUCGAACGCGAAAGUCCCCUUCGGGGGAUGAGUAGAGUGGCGCACGGGCGAGUAACACGUAGGUAAUCUACCUUCGGGUGGGGAAUAACAACCGGAAACGGUUGCUAAUACCGCAUAAUGCAGCGGCACCUAAUGGUGACAGUUGUUAAAGCGGGGGAUCGCAAGACCUCGCGCCUGAAGAGGAGCCUGCGGCGGAUUAGCUAGUUGGCAGGGUAACGGCCUACCAAGGCGACGAUCCGUAGCCGGCCUGAGAGGGCGGUCGGCCACACUGACACUGACAUACGGGUCAGACUCCUACGGGAGGCAGCAGUCGGGAAUUUUGGGCAAUGGGCGAAAGCCUGACCCAGCAACGCCGCGUGGAGGAUGAAAUCCCUCGGGAUGUAAACUUCGCAAGAACGGGGAGAAUAAGCCGGUGUCAACACCACCGGCGAUGACGGUACCGUUUGUAAGCUCCGGCUAACUCCGUGCCAGCAGCCGCGGUAAUAC
rnacentral:rRNA from 1 species